rnacentral:rRNA from 1 species
UACGUAGGGGGCAAGCGUUGUCCGGAUUUACUGGGCGUAAAGAGCGUGUAGGCGGCCACGCAGGUCCGUUGUGAAAACUGGAGGCUCAACCUUCAGACGUCGACGGAAACCGUAUGGCUAGAGUCCGGAAGAGGAGAGUGGAAUUCCUGGUGUAGCGGUGAAAUGCGCAGAUAUCAGGAAGAACACCAAUGACGAAGGCAGCUCUCUGGGACGGUACUGACGCUGAGACGCGAAAGCGUGGGGAGCGAACAGG